rnacentral:rRNA from 1 species
CAGGGAAUUUUGCGCAAUGGGCGAAAGCCUGACGCAGCGACGUCGCGUGAGGGAUGAAGGCUUUAUGAGUUGUAAACCUCUUUCAGUAGGGACGAAGCGAGAGUGACGGUACCUACAGAAGAAGGCCCGGCCAACUACGUGCCAGCAGCCGCGGUAAUACGCAGGGGCCAAAGCGUUAUCCGGAUUUAUUGGGCGUAAAGAGCUCGUAGGCGGCUUGGCAAGUCGGUGGUGAAAUGCCGAGGCUCAACCUCGGAACUGCCAUCGAAACUGCCAUGGCUAGGGUUCGGUAGAGGAGAGUGGAAUUCUCGGUGUAGCGGUGGAAUGCGCAGAUAUCGAGAGGAACACCAGUA